UACGGAGGGUGCAAGCGUUAAUCGGAAUUACUGGGCGUAAAGCGCGCGCAGGCGGUUUGUUAAGUCCGUUGUGAAAGCCCCGAGCUCAACUUGGGAAUUGCAGUGGAUACUGGCAGGCUGGAGUACGGUAGAGGAAGGUGGAAUUCCCGGUGUAGCAGUGAAAUGCGUAGAUAUCGGGAGGAACACCAGUGGCGAAGGCGGCCUUCUGGACCAGUACUGACGCUCAUGCACGAAAGCGUGGGGAGCAAACAGG
rnacentral:rRNA from 1 species